rnacentral:rRNA from 1 species
GUGGGGAAUCUUCCGCAAUGGACGAAAGUCUGACGGAGCAACGCCGCGUGAGUGAAGAAGGUUUUCGGAUCGUAAAGCUCUUUCGUUAGGGACGAACGUGCUCUUUGUGAAUAAUGAGGAGUAAUGACGGUACCUAAAUAAGAAGCCACGGCUAACUACGUGCCAGCAGCCGCGGUAAUACGUAGGUGGCAAGCGUUGGCCGGUAUUAUUGGGCGUAAAGCGCGCGCAGGCGGGAUAUCAAGUCUGUCUUAAAAGUGCGAGGCUCAACCUCGUGAGGGGACAGAAACUGGUAUUCUUGAGUGUCGGAGAGGAAAGUGGAAGUCCAAGUGUAGCGGUGAAAUGCGUAGAGAUUUGGAAGAACACCAGUGGCGAAGGCGACUUUCUGGACGAUGUCUGACGCUGAGGCGCGAAAGCUAGGGGAGCGAACGGGAUUAGAAACCCCAGUAGUCC